CAGUAGCCACGGGAAUACAGAGGUCCCGAGCGUUGUUCGGAUUCACUGGGCGUAAAGGGUGUGUAGGGGGUUGGAUAAGUCAGGUGUGAAAUCCCGCAGCUCAACUGCGGAACUGCAUUCGAUACUGUUCAACUAGAGGAUCGGAGGGGGAAGCGGAAUUCUUGGUGUAGCGGUGAAAUGCGUAGAUAUCAAGAGGAACACCGGUGGCGAAGGCGGCUUCCUGGAAGAUACCUGACUCUGAAACACGAAAGCCAGGGGAGCGAAUGGGAUUAGAUACCCCGGUAGUCCCUGUCUCUUAUAC
rnacentral:rRNA from 1 species